UACGUAGGGUGCGAGCGUUAAUCGGAAUUACUGGGCGUAAAGUGUGCGCAGGCGGCCGAGCAAGUCGAGUGUGAAAGCCCCGGGCUUAACUUGGGAAUUGCGCUCGAAACUACUUGGCUGGAGUGUGGCAGAGGAAGGUGGAAUUCCAGGUGUAGCGGUGAAAUGCGUAGAGAUCUGGAGGAACACCGAUGGCGAAGGCAGGUCUCUGGGCUGACACUGACGCUCAUGCACGAAAGCGUGGGGAGCAAACAGG
rnacentral:rRNA from 1 species